rnacentral:sRNA from 1 species
GUCAAUAACCCCUGCCUGAAGGCAGAGGCUUGUGAAAGCCUUAGUUGACUAGCCUCAGUGAUCUUCCUUUGGAAGUGAACUACGUUGGUUGGGAAUGCAUAGGCACCGCGGGAUGUCCAUCCUAGUCCCGCGCUCUGC